CUGAAUUGGCUUCACUUUGCUGAAGCUGCAGGUGUUCAUUUGCACAUUUUAACAACAACAUUCAUCUCUGGGACGCAGAUCACACUGUUGCUUCCCGAGGAGUGUGAUUUGUUUGGGUUCCAUUCAAGCGGAUGACACCAUGCAGGUAGAAUCACAGACUGUUAAGAAUGUGAAACUCUUUUUGUGAAGAACAUCUUUUCUGAUGCUACAAAAAAAGGGGAGAAAAUAUUCUUGAACUGAGUGUAAGCCUGUUUGUUAGAUGUGAACGAUCUCAGCUGAUAUCUAUGUUCACAAUCAUCAUCAUGAAUGAUCGUGUGGUGUAGAGUUAAAAGCUUUAUCAAUACUGUGACUUCUCAAACGAUGUUCUGACAAGCGGCUCUCAUCGGCUGCUAAGAGCUGCUGCCAAGCUGUCGAUUUAUUUGAAUAAUUCAUAUCUACAAAGGCUACAGGACAAAAAUCUGCACGUUCAGGGAAAUUUCCUCUGAAUAGAGUCGCUAAAGAACUGGAGUAAAGAGAAAAAGGAGGAGAUCAGAGUGAGGUCUGUCGAAAAAAAAA